GAAGCGUGCGUCUCCCAGGAGGAGGGGCUGGCCUCACCCCCGGCUCGGAGAACCCCCUGAGGCUGCGGCGACCUUCGGAUGUCACACCCCAGCAAGGCAAACUGCGGAGAAAUUAGAAGACCAAGUCCUCCGGGCGUUCGUUUUGAGGGGACGGCAAGCCGUUUGCCAGGAGCCACACUGGGUCUCCGUUCCUAGACUCAGGCAUGCGCACGGGGUAUGUUUGUGAUGGGCAGAUACACAGCCAAGCCUGGCACAGUCUUUUGUCUACCCUACCCUCACCAGACCUUGAUGACCUUGAUGAUCUAGGGCAUUUGCUUGGAGUCUUGAAGUAUCUACUUGCAGGUCAGAAAGUCAUGGAAACAAUAGGAAGAAUCCUACUUCCUAGGAUUGUCCUGGGACAGAACUAGGAAGAAAAAUAGCCUUUCUAUUUUCAUCACUGAAAUUGCCAUUUGUCAUUCUCAAGGUGCCUCGGUGCCUUUGUCUCUGCCGUCAGCUGUCAGCAGCGUUGCUAAAAAUAGCCCAGCGGAGGGAACCGCUCUACGCGCAACAUUAAAA